rnacentral:rRNA from 1 species
AUCGAACGCUGGCGGCAGGCCUAACACAUGCAAGUCGAACGAGUGGCGGACGGGCGAGUAAUGUCUGGGAAACUGCCUGAUGGCGGGGGAUAACUACUGGAAACGGUAUCUAAUACCGCAUACCAUCGGAUGUGCCCAGAUGGGAUUAGCUAGUAGGUGGGGUAACGGCUCACCUAGGCGACGCUCCCUAGCUGGGCUGAGAGGAUAACCAGGAACACUGUAGCUGAGUGUCGGUCCGUACUCCGACGGGAGGCAGCAGUGGAGAAGAUUGCAGAAUGGGCGCAAGCCUGAUGCAGCCAUACCGCGUGUAUGAAGAAGGCCUUCGGGUUGUAAAGUACUUUCAGCGGGGAGGCGUUACCCGCAGAAGAAGCACCGGCUAACUCCGUGCCAGCAGCCGCGGUAAUAC